UACAGGGGGGGCAAGCGUUGUUCGGAAUUACUGGGCGUAAAGGGUUCGUAGGUGGCCACUUAAGUCAGACGUGAAAUCCCUCAGCUUAACUGGGGAACUGCGUCUGAUACUGAGUGGCUUGAGUGCAGGAGAGGAAUGCGGAAUUCCAGGUGUAGCGGUGAAAUGCGUAGAUAUCUGGAGGAACACCGGUGGCGAAGGCGGCAUUCUGGACUGUAACUGACACUGAGGAACGAAAGCCAGGGGAGCAAACGGGG
rnacentral:rRNA from 1 species